rnacentral:rRNA from 1 species
UAGAGUUUGAUCCUGGCUCAGAUUGAACGCUGGCGGCACGCCUAACACAUGCAAGUCGAGCGGUAGCAUGUCAGUGCUUGCACUGAUGAUGACGAGCGGCGGACGGGUGAGGAACACGUAGGAACCUGCCCUAAAGUGGGGGACAACCAAGGGAAACUUUGGCUAAUACCGCAUAAUCUCGAGAGAGAAAAGCUGGCUUCGGCUGGCGCUUUUGGAGGGGCCUGCGUCCGAUUAGCUUGUUGGUGGGGUAAAAGCCUACCAAGGCAUUGAUCGGUAACUGGUUUGAGAGGACGACCAGUCACACUGGAACUGAGACACGGUCCAGACUCCUACGGGAGGCAGCAGUGGGGAAUCUUGGACAAUGGGGGAAACCCUGAUCCAGCGAUGCCGCGUGAGUGAAGAAGGCUUUCGGGUCGUAAAGCUCUUUAGGUUGGGAAGAAUGCUACUCGUUUAAGAGAUAGGUAGUUUGACUGUACCGACAGAAUAAGCACCGGCAAACUCUGUGCCAGCAGCCGCGGUAAUACAGAGGGUGCGAGCGUUAAUCGGAUUUACUGGGCGUAAAGGGCACGUAGGUGGUUGUGCGAGUGUGAUGUGAAAGCCCCGGGCUUAACCUGGGAAGUGCAUCACAAACGGCAUAACUGGAGUAGAUGAGAGGGUGGUGGAAUUUCCGGUGUAGCGGUGAAAUGCGUAGAUAUCGGAAGGAACGUCAAUGGCGAAGGCAGCCACCUGGCAUCAUACUGACACUGAGGUGCGAAAGCGUGGGUAGCGAACAGGAUUAGAUACCCUGGUAGUCCACGCUGUAAACGAUGUGAACUAGAUGUUUGUGGAGGAAUCCAUGAGUAUCGAAGCUAACGCGAUAAGUUCACCGCCUGGGGAGUACGGCCGCAAGGUUGAAACUCAAAUGAAUUGGCGGGGGCCCGCACAAGCGGUGGAGCAUGUGGUUUAAUUCGAUGCAACGCGAAGAACCUUACCUACCCUUGACAUCCUAGGAACACUGAAGAGAUUCGGUGGUGCCGAAAGGAACCUAGAGACAGGUGCUGCAUGGCUGUCGUCAGCUCGUGUUGUGAGAUGUUGGGUUAAGUCCCGUAACGAGCGCAACCCUUAUCCUUAGUUACUAACGAGUUAAGUCGAGGACUCUAAGGAGACUGCCGGUGUUGAACCGGAGGAAGGCGGGGACGACGUCAAGUCAUCAUGGCCCUUAUGGGUAGGGCUACACACGUGCUACAAUGGGACGUACAGAGAGUCGCCAACCCGCGAGGGGGAGCUAAUCUCAGAAAGCGUCUCGUAGUCCGGAUUGGAGUCUGCAAUUCGACUCCAUGAAGUUGGAAUCGCUAGUAAUCGCGAAUCAGCAUUGUCGCGGUGAAUACGUUCCCGGGCCUUGUACACACCGCCCGUCACGUCAUGGAAGUGGAUGGUACCAGAAGCGGGUAGUUUAACCUUCGGGAGAACGCUUGCCACGGUAUGAUUCAUGACUGGGACGAAGUCGUAACAAGGUAACC